UGGGGAAUUUUGGACAAUGGGCGCAAGCCUGAUCCAGCCAUGCCGCGUGCAGGAUGAAGGCCUUCGGGUUGUAAACUGCUUUUGUACGGAACGAAAAGCCUCUCUCUAAUACAGGGGGGUGAUGACGGUACCGUAAGAAUAAGCACCGGCUAACUACGUGCCAGCAGCCGCGGUAAUACGUAGGGUGCAAGCGUUAAUCGGAAUUACUGGGCGUAAAGCGUGCGCAGGCGGUCUUGCAAGACAGUGGUGAAAUCCCCGGGCUCAACCUGGGAACUGCCAUUGUGACUGCAAGGCUGGAGUGCGGCAGAGGGGGAUGGAAUUCCGCGUGUAGCAGUGAAAUGCGUAGAUAUGCGGAGGAACACCGAUGGCGAAGGCAAUCCCCUGGGCCUGCACUGACGCUCAUGCACGAAAGCGUGGGGAGCAAACA
rnacentral:rRNA from 1 species